UACGUAGGGUGCAGGCGUUAAUCGGAAUUACUGGGCGUAAAGCGUGCGCAGGCGGUUUUGUAAGCCAGAUGUGAAAUCCCCGGGCUUAACCUGGGAAUGGCAUUUGGGACUGCAAGGCUGGAGUGUGGCAGAGGAGACGUGGAAUUCCUGGUGUAGCAGUGAAAUGCGUAGAUAUCAGGAGGAAUACCGAUGGCGAAGGCAGGUCUCUGGGCUGACACUGACGCUCAUGCACGAAAGCGUGGGGAGCAAACAGG
rnacentral:rRNA from 1 species